rnacentral:rRNA from 1 species
AUUGAACGCUGGCGGAAUGCUUUACACAUGCAAGUCGAACGGCAGCACGGGGGCAACCCUGGUGGCGAGUGGCGAACGGGUGAGUAAUACAUCGGAACGUGCCCGGUCGUGGGGGAUAACGUAGCGAAAGUUACGCUAAUACCGCAUACGAUCUGAGGAUGAAAGCGGGGGACCUUCGGGCCUCGCGCGAUCGGAGCGGCCGAUGUCCGAUUAGGUAGUUGGUGGGGUAAAGGCCUACCAAGCCGGCGAUCUGUAGCUGGUCUGAGAGGACGACCAGCCACAGUGGGAGUGAGACACGGCCCAGAGUCCGACGGGAGGCAGAAGUGGGGAAGUUUGGACAAUGGGCGCAAGCCUGAUCCAGCCAUUCCGCGUGCAGGAAGAAGGCCUUCGGGUUGUAAACUGCUUUUGUAGGGAACGAAAAGGCUCUGGCUAAUACCUGGGGCUCAUGACGGUACCGUAAGAAUAAGCACCGGCUAACUACGUG